AGAGUUUGAUCCUGGCUCAGGAUGAACGCUAGCGGCAGGCCUAACACAUGCAAGUCGAGGGGUAGGAUUAGCUUGCUAAUCUGAGACCGGCGCACGGGUGCGUAACGCGUAUGCAAUCUACCUUUUACAGGGGGAUAGCCCAGAGAAAUUUGGAUUAAUACCCCAUAGUAUUAUCGAAUGGCCUCAUUUGAUUAUUAAAG
rnacentral:rRNA from 1 species